CACGGCUCGGCUCAGGCCUCGCCCCUUCCCAUCUGAGGGGCGCCCGGGCCGCCAGGGAGCAAGAUGGCGGUGAAUCAGAACCACACCGUGAACCGCCAUGGGGCUGUCAUCCCUUAUGGUGAAAGAAUGCAGAAGUUGAUAAAAAUCUUCAAUUUCUUCAUCUUUGGCAUUAGUGGUUGUGUCUUGAAGCAGUGUAAGGAUGUGGUGCUCUCCUUCCCACACCAACCAGGGGAAUCUGAUCUGUUUAGGGGUACAAAGAAGGGGACGUUGUUUCUCACUUCAUUCCGGGUGAUCUUCCUGACUUUACACUCCGUCAGCAAUCCCAUGUUGUCUUUUAUGAUGCCAUUUAAUCUGAUAAGGGACUGCACUGUCGAACAACCACUAUUUGCCCCCAACUACAUUAAAGGAACCAUUACAGCAGCCCCAGGUGGUGGCUGGGAAGGACAGGCUACUUUUAAAUUAUCCUUCAGGAAAGGAGGUGCCAUCGAAUUUUCCCAGCUGAUGACGCAAGCUGCCGCUGCUGCUGCCAGAGGAAUUCCAUUUGGAAAUGUAAAUUAUUGGUAUGGCGGGCCGGCCAUGUAUGUGGUCAUUCCUGGACAGGUGAACAUGCCGUGUACUCUGGAAAACCCUUGUCAAGCUAUUCUCUAUGGACCCACACCCAUCAGACCCCCACCUAUGGAAUAUGGAGCACCAUCAUCUGUGAGAUAUGAAACCCCGCCUCUGGGAUAUGGAACCCAACCUAUGCAGCAUGAAGCCCCACCUGUGGGAUAUGAAGCCCCACCUUCAGAAUAUGGAGCCCCGCCUGCAGGAUAUACAGCCCCACCUGUGGGAUAUGAAGCCCCACCUCCAGGAUAUGAGGUCCCAUCUGCAGUAUAUGAAACGCUGCCUACAGGAAAUGAAGCCCCACCUCUGAGAUAUGAAGCCCCACCUCCAGAAUAUGGAGCCCCGUCUGUAGGAUAUAGAGCACAGUCUCAGAGAUAUAGGGCAGCUCAGCCUCCUGGACAUGAAGCUUUUCUUCCCUCUGCCUCUUCUCAGGCCCAUUUUCCACCUCCUAGGAUGUAAACCUUGAAGACUCCCCAGGCAAAGUAGCACCCUAAAAUUUAAGUCAGGAUAAGAAAGAAGACUCAGUUACACCGUACCCGGUGAACUUGAGGUGAGGUCCAGUUACCUAGAAAGAGUGACAGGCCCAAGUCUGAAGGCGGAAUUGCAUCAUGUUCUCCAGCAAAGGGUUCCUGGUCGAAGUCCACCAAGCUGCCCCAACACAACCUAAGACUGUGAGUAUAUGGGGCUAGGACCAAGCAGAGCCACAGUUUGGCCCCACGUGGCACUUGUGGCAUACCUACUGUUACUUCCACUGCCUGGUAUGGUUGUUCCCCUGAUUCAGGCAGAGGCAGGACCCAGAUCUUGCCCUACCAAGGACAUGCCCAGUUCAGCGCGUGCAUGCUGGUUCUGCUCAGCCCCCAUGAUAUGUUGGGUGCUUCCUUCCUGACUAGCUCCCUGCCAUGUGGAUUCUAUUCUUCAUCCUCUCUCUUUUCCCCACUAUAGCUCAUACAGUAUUCUUGCUGUCUUGUCCACUUUGUCUCUUCAUUUUCUGUUAGGAAUACAAAUGGAACGGAAAAGGGCCUUUUAUCCCUGGACUGUCUGGUAGUGGACCCACAAAAUAAGCCCCCAAUGCCCUUUUUUCAGGGUGAGUAAAUGCUCACCCACCUAGAGCAGAGGUGGCCUGCUCAAUUCUCCUGAGGACUCAGGGAGAAAUGUAUAGCUGGAGUGAUUUCUAAUCCACAGAUUAACAUGUACAAGAAACAUUACAUGUCUUUAUUUUCCUUAAACUUAAUUCUGUCGCCAAGCCCACUACCACCACCUGUCUUGUUGAUAGACUCCCUCAAGCCCCCAAGAUUAUGCAAAGAUAUCCAGAUCUUACGUGGCACCAAGAUACGGGGAAGACCCUUCAGUCAUCAUAUUGCCUCUCAAACAGCCACUGUCCAGUCCUGACAGUCCCAUCAGGUCUGGCAGCACUGUUGUUUCCUUGUGACCCCAGAAUCUUUGGUAGGGUUAGAACCUAGGUGUUAGGGAUUCAAUUCCAUGUACCACACAGCGUUCCCCCGAGAGCUGGAAAGCAAGACCCCAAUGCUCACUCCUUGAGACUCACAGAUCUCAAUUCCUUUUGCAGCCUCCCAGAUUCUGCCCUGCCCCCAAGCCAUGCUGUCAGUCGGUAUCCCCUCCAUCCCUUGAGCACUCAUCUUGUUCGUAAUCUCAUAGGAUUUGGGUUUCCACAAAAGAUAAUGGAAGCCUUUGCCUUCACGUGGAUUUGGCCUUCCUUGCCCAGUGCCUGGCUGUUUGCUUGCAAUCAUGUAUGUACUGCAAAAAAAUUAUUCUGCUGCGCAGGUGACCUAGCCAUCAGGAAAGAAGUCAAACAUGUGGCAUCCAUCCCAACCUUCACCUGGAGUGCCUUCCGGAGAGGGGAGACUCUGGGACAGACAGACUCAACCAUGGACCACUGGAGAAUAAACUGGUUUUCGAAGGUUCCUAAACGGGUCAGGAAGAAGGGAUUCUGUCUAAGGAAGAAGGUCGAUAGAUUUGACCAGUGGUUUCGAUUAGUUUAGAUUUGUAUUUAGUAACCAAUAUAAAAAAAAAUUGUGUGAUUUUUCGUAGUCGGUAUUUAUUAUAAAUAAUAAAACAGGGGAUUAAUUGAAUUCAGUGUUGUUGUUGUUGUUGUUGUUAGGUGCUGUCAAGUCAGUUCCAACUCAUAGUGACUCCAUGUACAACAGAAGGAAACACUGCCCGGUCCUGUGCCAUCCUCACAAUCCUUGUUAUACUCGAGCCCAUUGUUGCAGCCACUGUGUCAAUCCAUCUCUUUGAGGGUCUUCCUCUUUUUCGCUGAUCCUUUACUGUACCAAGCAUGAUGUCCUUCUCCAGGGACUGAUCCCUCCUGAUAACAUGUCCACAGUAUGUGAGACGUAAUCUUGGCAACCUUGCUUUUAAGGAACGUUCUGGCUGUACUUCUUCCAAGACAGAUUGGUUUGUUCUUUUGGCAGUCCAUGGUAUAUUCAGUAUUCUCUGCCAGCACCAUAAUUCUAAAGCAUCAAUUCUCUUUCCGUCUUCCUUAUUCAUUGUCCUUGUCCAGCUUUCACAUGCAUAUGAGGCAAAUGAAAACACCAUUGCUCGGGUCAGGCCCACCUUAGUCUUCAAGGUGACAUCUUUGCUUUUUAACACUUAAGAGAGGUCUUUUGCAGCACAUUUGCCCAAUGCAAUGCGUCAUUUUAUUUCUUGACUGCUGCUUCCAUGGAUGUUGAUUGUGGAUCCAAGUAAAAUGAAAUCCUUGACAGCUUCAAUCUUUUCUCCGUUUGUCAUGAUGUGGCUUAUUGGUCCAGUUGUGAGGAUUUUUGUUUUCUCUGUGUGGAGGUGUAAUCCAUACUGAAGGCUGUGGUCUUUGAUCAUCAGUAAGUGCUUCAAAUCCUCUUCAUUUUCAGCAAGCAAGGUUGUGUCAUCUGCAUAAUGCAGGUUGUUAAUGAAUCUUCCCUGAUGCCCCGUUCUUCUUCAUAUAGACCAGCUUCUCGAAUUAUUUGCGGAGUAUUCAGAUGAAAUAGGUAUGGUGAAAGGAUACAACCCUGACACACACCUUUCCUGACUUUAAACCGCACAGUAUCCCCUUGUUCUGUUCAAACGACUGCCUCUUGAUCUAUGCAUAGGUUCUUCAUGAGCACAAUUAAGUGUUCUAGAAUUGCCAUUCUUCACAAUCUUAUCUGUAAUUUGUUAUGAUCUACACAGUCGAAUGCCUUUGCGUAGUCAAUAAAACACAGGUAAACAUCCUUCUGGUAUUCUCUGCUUUCAGCCAGGAUCCAUCUGACAUCAGCAAUGAUAUCCCUGGUUCCACGUCCUCUUCUGAACCCCGCUUGAGCUCCUGGCAGUUAGCUAUCAAUGUACUGCUACAGCUGCUUUUGAAUGAUCUUCAGCAAAAUGUUACUCGUGUGUGAUAUUAAUGAUAUUGCUCAAUAAUUUCUGCAUUCAGUUGAAUCACCUUGCUUUGGAAUAGGCAUAAAUAUGGACCUCUUCCAGUCAGUUGGCCAGGUAGCUGUCCUCCAAAUUUCUUAGCGUAGAAUAGUGUGUGCUUCCGGCGCUGCAUCCAUUUGUUGAAAGAUCUCAGUUGGUAUUCUGUCAGUUCCUGGAGGCUUGUUUUUCGCCAAUGCCUUCAGUGCAGCUUGGACCUCUUCCUUCAGUACCAUCGGCUCCUGGUCAUAUUCUACCUCCUGAAAUGGCUGACUGUCCACCAGUUCUUUUUGAUAUAGUGAUUCUGUGUAUUCCUUCUGUCUUCAUUGGAUGGUUCCUGUGUCAUUUAGUAUUUUUCCCUUAGAAUCCUUCAAUAUUGCAACUGGAGGCUUGAAUUUUUUCUUUGGUUCUUUCAGUUUGAAAAAUGCUGAGCUUGUUCUUUCCUUUUGGUUUUCUAACUUCAGAUCUUUGCACAUUUCAUUAUAAUACUUUACUUUGUCUUCUCGAGCCACCCUUUGAAAUCUGUUUAGCUCUCCCACUUCAUCACUUCUUCCUUUUGCUUUAGCUAUUCCACGUUCGAGAGCGAGUUUCAGAGUCUCUUCUGACAUCUGUUUCAGUGUCUUGCUUCUUUCCUGUCUUUUUACCAGCCUCUUGCUUUCUUUAUGUAUGAUGUCCUUGCACACCUUGUUUGGUCUUCGGUCGUUUGUGUUCGGUGCAUCAAAUCUAUUCUUGAGAUGGUCUCUAAAUUCAGGUGAGAUAUACUCAAGGUUGUACUUUGGCUCUCGUGGACUUGUUCUAAUUUUCUUCAGUUUCAACUUGAACUUGCAUAUGAACAAUUGGUGGUCUGUUCUGCAGUCAGCCCUUGGUCCUGCUCUGACUUAUGAUACUGAGCUUUUCCAUUGUCUCUUUCCACAGAUGUAGUUAAUUUGAUUCAUAUUCCAUCUGAUGAAGGGCCAUGUGUAUAGUCACCAUUCAUGUUGGUGAAAAAAGGUAUUUGCAGUGGAGAAGUCAUUGGCCUUGCAGUAUUCUAUCAUGCGACCUCUGGGAUCAUUUCUGUCACCAAGCCUGUGUUUUCCAACUACUGAUCCUUCUUGUUUUCACCUUUGGCAUUCCAAUCACCAGUAAUUAUCAAUGCAUCCUAAUUGCAUGUUCGAUCAAUUUCAGACUGCAGAAAUUGGUAAAAAUCUUCAACUUCUUCAUCUUUGGCUUUAGUGGUUGGUGCGUAAAUUUGAAUAGUAGUCACACUAACUGGUCUUCCUUGUAGGCAUAUGGAUAUUAUCCUGUCACCGACGGUGUUGUACUUCAGGAGAGAUCUUGAAAUGUUCUUUUGAUGAUGAAUGCAACGCCAUUCCUCUUCAAGUUGUCAUUCCCAGCAUAGUAGACCAUAUGAUUGUCUGAUUAAAAAUGGCCAAUCCCAGUCCAUUUCAGCUCACUCAUGCCUGGGAUAUCAAGGACUCAAAAUGAGAAGAAACACCUCCAAACAUCCAUUAAUAAUCAGAACGUGGAAUUGAGUAUUGGUAAGUAGCUAUUAAUAUUGAACAGAGUUGGCUAAUUGCUUUUAAUGUCUAAAUAUUCAACAAACCUUUGCAUGCCGUAGCCAAAGGCCGCUGGAGCUGAGCUGUUGAGCUGAGAACAAAAGAAAGGACGAUUUCCUUCUCAGCCUGAGAGGGAGGCAGCAGUCGUCUCCUGGGUCUGGAGAGGAGUCCCAGGACAGGCCUUGCUCUCCUGUUUCACCAGGCCUGAGCCUAGAGUACUUUCUGCCCCUCCCUCUCCCUGCCCUGAUACGGGGUUCCCUGUGGUUGCAUGAAAAAGUCUUAUUUAUCUGUUAAAUCGCAGCCCAAACCCUCUGUGAAACCUUCCUCAACUUCCCAGCCAGACUCAGAGUGACUUUGUCCUCUGUCCCGCUGCAUUUUGUACCUUACUCCCUGGGAGCAAUUGCAGAGUCUGCUGUCAUUGCCUGUUCACCAGUCCGCCUUUGCCCUGAACUCUGAGCUCCAUGAGGACGUGAAUUGGGCCAUUAUUUGGUGCAAGGCAUCAUGCGUAGUACCGUGGAGGCAGAGUUGUUCCAAAUAUGGUCCCUGUCUUCUAAGAACUUUCUAGUCAGAGCUGAAGGGCAAGAGGGGAAAUAGUUGUUAGUAUUACUUGUCUCGGUUGUUAAUAAUCAUUUGCCUCACUCUGCCACUUCUUUGGAGGAAGCAAAAAUGUUUCUGGUUAUAAAACUAGGUCCCUGGCCUUCUCUGUGGUUUCCCUUACCUGGAUGGAAUGUCUGAAAAACAGGAUGAAAAAGGAAAAAGAAAGAGUGAAGGAAACUCCUUUGUCAGUUAGCGGUGUGAUCAGCUACAAGUCACAGGUAACCAAUUACACUGGUUUAAAUAAGUAGGGGGCUAUUUUCCUCACGUAACAAAAAUCCAGGCGGCAGGCGGUCUAGGUUGGUGCAGCUGUCAGCUGUGUCAUCCAGGGCCCCUUUACCAUUGGGUCCUGCUGUCCCCAGCAUGAUGGCUUGUUGCCUCCUGGUCAAGAUGGCAGCUCACUUCAGGUGUCAUGUCCAAAAUCAAGGCAGGACAAAAGGGAGAGCAAAGGGCUCUGCCAAAUGCAACUGGCCUUUUUUUAAUCAAAAAACUAAACUGUCCCACAACUCCCCAGCAGUCUCAUUGGUCAAAACUGAAACACAUGACCAUUCCUAGCUGCAAGGAAGUAGGGGACAAACUGAAACAGGGCUGGGACUGGGCACCUGGCCCUUCUGAACAAAGUCAUCUUCUGUUAGCAAUGAGAAGGGUAGCGGGUACGAGGCAGGUAGCUUCGUCUAUCACACCUGCUCUUGACCCCUCCUGAAAUCUGAGUCUCAGCCAGGAGUGCUGAAGGAAGAAUCUUUUAACCUGUGCUGGAAACCCAUCGUGAAUGUGCACACUCUACCACUUCCAAAGCCCUCCCACACGGUGUUCCACCUUGCUCCCAGGUUUUCAGGGAAGGUGGACCUCAAAGAAGUCAGGGGGAACAUGGAACAUGGUGGAGGGUGGGGCUCCAGGGCUCCCCUGUGUGUGAAUUGGUCUGACAAUGUCACCACUGGGCUCCUUGAAAUGCCUCUUUCGUCCUUAAAGAACCUGGGUCAGGACAAGGCGCUCAUGAGAGCCCUCGCCAUUUCUCAGGAGGCAUCACGUGUCAUCCACCGGACAUCACUGGUAGUUGUUCGGUGCCCUUAGUGACCCCACGUGACAGAGUAGAACAGCCCCAGAAGGUUUCCUAGGCUGUGAUCUUUAUGGAAACAGAUCACCCGGUCUUUCUCCCUUAGAGUCACUGGGUGGGUUCCAACAGCCAGUCUUCCUGUUAGCAGCCCGUCAUUUAACGGUUGUGCCACAAGGGCUCCUUAACAGGCACCUUUAAUACUGGGGAUAAUGGUGUUUGAAGAGGGGCUCCCUUAGGCUUCCUUUUUGUUGUUGUUGAUCCUUUUUUAAAAUAUGAAAUAUUUGAUACAUAUAAAAGAAAAUGUAUGAUUUAUAGGUAAGCUAUGGAGAAUAAAUGACCCUACCACCCAACUUAAACAGAACAUCACCCAAACCAUUGAAGCUCUGGUGUGCUUAUUUGUCAUCUUGGUGUCCCUUGAAGGUAACCACCCUGCCGGGCCUGACCCAGACUUCCCGGAGCGCACACUCUUGCCAACACUUGUCAGACGCUUUCAUUCUUGCCCAUGUUGAUAUGAAGUGAUAGUUAUGGUUUUAAUUUGUGCUUCAUGAGUUCAGGCAUCAUUUAGUGUUCUUUAUUGGCUGUCUUAGUUUCUUAGUGCUGCUGUCACAAAUGCUACAAGUUGGUGGAUUUAAUAAACAGAAAUUUAUUUUCUCAAAGCGUAGGAGGCUAGAAGCCCGAAUUCAGAGCACCAGCCCUAGGGGAAGGCUCUCUAUCAGCUCUGGGGUCAGGUCCUUGUCUCAGCUUCUCUAGCUGGCCAUCCUUGGGCUUACAGACGGGUUUGCCUCCGUCAUCUUCAGAUAGUGUCAGUCUUCCCUGUGUCUACCUUCUUCUGCGCCCAAUCUGUUCCUUUAUAUCUCAGAAGUGAUUAGCUUAGACACAUUCUACACUGGUAUGGCCUCAUUAAUGUAACAAAGAAAACCACAGCAGGUUUAGGGGUUAGAGGUCCAACACACAUUUUUGGGGGACACGAUUCAGUCCAUAACAUUGGCUGUUUAUGUUUCCUACUCUGUGAGUUGCCUGCUGAUGUCUUUUGCUGGUUUUCAACCCUGCUCCUGUUUGUCACCCUGCAUGCUGUUGGUGACUAGUACUAGCCUCUCUUACUAACUCAGAGCUCUCUGCUUCUCUCCCCCUAGCUCCCGCCCUCGCCUCCUCCCUAUCACCUUUCCCCUGUACCCUGGGUUCUUUCAAUUGGAGCCUGCGCUCCCCUUCCCUCUCCAGCUUCCAGUCAGGGGUGCCUUCUAAAAUACUAACCUAAAGCAAUCCAAAUAUCUGUCAUUGGCUAUGGUCUCGGGGAACAUCUAGCUCAAGUGGCAUAAUAUAAUUUAUAAAGAAAAUGUCCUACAUCCUACUUUGGUGAGUAGCGUCUGAGGUCUUAAAAGCUUGUGAGUGGACAUCAAAGAUAUGUCUACUGGUCCCACCUCGUAUGGAGCAAAGGAGGAUGAAGAAAACCAAAGACACAAGAUUAGUCCAAAGAACUAAUGGACCAAAACUACUACAACCUCAACCAGACUGAGUCCAGCACAACUAGAUGGUGCCUGGCCACCACCACUGACUGUUCUGACAGGGAUCACAAUACAGGGUCCUGGAAAAAGCGAGAGAAAAUGCAGAACAAAAUUCAAACUUGCAAAAAGCCAGACUUAUUGGUCCGAUAAGACUGGAGGAACCCUGAGAAUAUGGGACCUGGACCCCCUUUUAACUCAAUACUGAAGUCACUCCUGGGGUUCACCCUUUAGCCAAAGAUAAGACAGGCACACAAAACAAAACAAGACUAAAUGGGCACACCAGCCCAGAGGCAAGGACAAGAAGGCAGGAGGGUACUGGAAAGUUGGUAAUGAGGAGCCCAAGGUUGAGAAGGGGAGAGUGUUGACUUCUCAUGGGGCUGGCAACCAGUGUCACAAAACAAUGUGUGUGUAUUUUAAUGAGAAACUGAUUUGCUCUGUAAACCUUCAUCUAAAAUACAAUAAAAAAUAUCUGUCAUUUGAAUAAGAAUGUAGCAACUGAAAAUAUACUAAUAGGGAAUAACUUCCAAAAUAUUUUUUCUUAAGUUUUAUUUUGUUGAGAAUGUACACAGCAAAAACAUCAAGUCAACAGUUUCUACAUGUACAGUUUAGUGACACUGAUUACAUUCUUCGUGUUGUGCAACCAUUGUUACCCUCUUUUUCUCAGUUGUUCCUCCCUCAUUAACAUAAAUUCACUGUCCCCUAAGGUUCCCAUCCAAUCUUUCCAGUUGUUGUCAAUUUAAUCCCAUAUAGAUCUUAAAAUAGCAUAAUGCUCAAGGCAAACCUUUUUUUAACUAGUAAACCUUUUCUUACUACUUAAGCUAAACUAUUGUUUGGUUUUAAGAAGACUUCAGAGGAUGCUUUUGGUUCAAGUAUCAAAGAUUAUUUCAGGACAAUCAUUUCAGGGGUUCAUCCACCCUCCAUGGCUCCAGGAAGUCUGAAGCCCAUGAGAAUUUGAAAUUCUGUUCUGCAUUAUUCCUCCUUUUGAUCAGGUUUUGGAAUCUUUGAUCAAAAUGUUCCGUAAUGGUAGCCAGGCACAAUCCAGUUCUUCUGGUCUCAUGCCAAAGAAGGUAGUUCUUCAUGAAGGCAAUUAACCCCACAUUCCAUAUCCUCCUUCUAUUCCUGACUCUCCUCCUUCCUCUGUUGUUCCCGGUGAAUAGAGAUCAACUGUUGUGCACUAGAUGGGUGCCUGCAAGCUUUUAAGACCCCAGGCACUACACAACCAACUAGGAGGUAGGAAAGAAUUAGGCCAAUUAAUUGGGAUGUUCCAUGAAACCAUGACCCUAAACCUCCAAACCAAGGAGCCAAAUCCCAUGAGAUGUUUGGUUGUACAUAAACAGCCUCAGCAGCUACUCUUUUUCUUUGUAAAUAUAUCUAUCACGUACAUACAAGGAAGACCAGUUAAUACGAUUAUUAUUCAAAUUUACACACCAACUGCUAAGGCCAGAGAUGAAGAAACUGAAGAUUUUUAUCAGCUUCGGCAGUCUGAAAUUGAUCAAACAUGCAAUCGGGAUGCAUUGAUAAUUAAUGGUGAUUGGAAUGCAGAAGUUGGAAACGAAGAAGGAUCGGUUGUUGGAAAAUAUCGCCUUGUUGAAAAUAUGACCUUCUUUCUCCUUAUCAAAAAUAAAAAAUCAAUUGGCCAACAAUGUAUGGGUUUAUUUAUAGAUUCUCCAUUCUAUUCCAUUAGUUUAUAUGUCUUUAUACCAGUACUACACUGUUUUGAUUAUUGUAGCUUUGUAAUACACUGUGAAAUGGGGAAGUGUGAGUCCCCCUACUUUGUUCUUUUUCAGGAUUGUUGUGUCUAUCCAGGCCCCUUUUAAUUCCAUAUGAAUUUGAGGAUCAGCUUUUCCAUGCAAAAAAUAAAAAAGACUAUUGUAAUUUUAAUAGAAAUUGCAUUGUAUCUAUAGAUGCUUUGGGUAGAACUGACAUCUUAACAAUAUUUUCUUCAAAUCCAUGAACACAGAAUGCCUUUCCAUUUAUUUUGAUCUCCUUUAAUUUCUUUCAACAAUGCUUAAUAGUUUUCAGUGUAAAGAUCUUUCAGCUCCUUGGUUAAAUUUACUCAGGUAUUUUAUUCUUAGAUGCUAUUGUAAAAGGAAUGGUUUUUUAAUUUCUUUUUCAGGUUGUUCAUCAGUGUGUGGACACACUGAUUUCUGUGUGUCAAUCUCAUACACUGCAACUUUGCUGAAUUUAUUAGCUCUAGCAGUUUUCUGAGCAUGUUCUUCCCUUUUGGUUUUCUAUACCCAGGUCUUUGCACAUGUCAAUACUUUACUUUGUCUUCUUGAGCCGCCCUUUGAAAUCUUCUGUUCAGCUCUUUGACUUCAUCAUUUUUUCCUUUUGCUUUAGCUACUCGACAUUCAAGAGCAAGUUUCAGAGUCUCUUAUGACAUUUAUUUAGUUUUUUUUCUUUCUUUCCUGUCUUUUUAAUGACCUCUUGCUUUCUUCAUGUCUGAUGUCCUUGAUGUCAUUCCACAACUCAUCUGGUCUUUGGUCAUUAGCAUUCAAUGCAUCAUAUCUACUCUUGUGAUGGUCUCUAAAUUCAGGUGGGAUAUACUCAAGGUCGUACUUUGACUUUCGUGGACUUGUUCUAAUUUUCUUCAGUUUCACCUUGAACUUGCAUAUGAGUAAUUGAUGGUCUGAUCUGCAGUCGGCCCCUGGCCUUGUUUUGUCUGAUGAUAUUGAGCUUUUCUAUCAUCUCUUUCCACAGAUGUAGUCGAUUUGAUUCCUGUGUAUUCCAUCAGGCAAGGUCAAUGUGUACAAUCACUGUUUAUGCUGUUGAAAAAAGGUAUUUGCAAUGAAGGAGUCAUUGGUCUUGCAAAAUUCUAUCAUGUGAUCUCCAGCAUCGUUUCUAUCACUAAGGCCAUAUUUUCCAACCACUGAUCCUUCUUGUUUCCAACUUUUGCAUUCCAAUCACCAGUAAUUAUCAGUGCAUACUGAUUGCAUGUUUGAUCAAUUUCAGACUGCAGAAACUGGUAAAUGUCUUCAAUUUCUUCAUCUUUGGCCUCAGUGGUUGAUGCAUAAAUUUGAAUUAUAGUCAUAUUAACUGGUCUUUCUUGUAGGCGUAUGGAUAUUAUCCUAUCACUGACAGCAUUAUAUGUCAGGAUAGAUCUUGAAAUGUUCUUUUCGACGAUGAAUGCAACGCCAUUCCUCUUCAAGAUGUCAUUCCCGGCAUAGUAGACCAUAUAACUGUCUGAUUGAAAAUGGCCAAUACCAGUCCAUUUCAGCUCACUAAUGCCUAGAAUAUCGAUGUUUAUGCGUUCCAUUUCAUUUUGGAUGAUUUCCAGUUUUCCUAGAUUCAUACUUUUUACAUUUCAGAUUCCGAUUAUUAAUAGAUGUUUGCAGCUGUUUCCUCUCAUUUUGAGUCACGCCACAUCAGCAAAUGAAGGUCCCAAAAGCCUGACUCCAUCCACGUCAUGAAGGCCAACUCUACUUUGAGGACGCAGCUCUUCCCCAAUCAUAUUUUGAGUGCCUUCCAACCUGAGGGGCUCAUCUUCCAGCACUAUAUCAGACAAUAUUCUGCUGCUAGUCAUAACGUUUUCACUGGCUAAUUCUUUCCAGAAGUAGACCACCAGGUACUUCUUCCUAGUCUGUCUUAAUCUGGAAGCUCAGCUGAAACCUGUCUGCCAUGGGUGACCCUGCUGGUAUUUGAAUACUGGUGGCAUAGCUUCCAGCAUCACAACAACACACAAGCCUCCAUGGUAUGACAAACUGACAGACACGUAGGGGAAGAACACACUCAGCAUUUCUCAAACUGAAAGAACUGAAGAAAAAAUUCAAGCCUGGAGUUGCAAUACUGAAGGAUUCUACAGAGAAAAUAUUAAACAACACAGGAAACAUCAAAAGAUGAUGGAAGGAAUACACAGAGUCACUAUACCAAAAAGAAUUGGUUGACCUUCAGCCAUUUCAGGAGGUCACAUAUGAUCAGGAACUGAUGGUACUGAAGGAAGAAGUCCAAGCUUCACUGAAGGCAUUGGCGAAAGACAAGGCUCCAGAAAUUGAUGGCAUACCAAUUGAGAUGUUUCAACAAACGGAUGCAGUGCUGGAAGUGCUCAGUCAUCUAUGCCAAGAAAUUUGGAAGACUGCUACCUGGCCAACUGACUAGAAGAGAGCCAUAUUUACACCUAUUCCCAAGAAAGGUGAUGCAACCGAAUGUGGAAAUUAUCGAACAAUAUUGUUAAUGUCACACGCAAGCAAAAUUUUGCUACAGAUCAUUCAAAAGUGGCUGCAGCAGUAUAUUGACAGGGAACUGCCAGAAAUUCAAGUUGGAUUUAGAAGGGGACGUGGAACCAGAGAUAACAUUGCUGAUGUCAGAUGGAUCCUGGCUGAAAACAGACAAUACCAGAAAGAUGUUUACCUGUGUUUUAUUGACUACGUGCAGACAUUGGACUAUGUGAAUCAACAAAUUAUGGAUACCAUUGUGAAGAAUGGGAAUUCCAGAACGCUUAAUUGUGCUCAUGAAGAACCUGUACAUGGAUCAAGAGGCAGUUGUUCGAACAGAACAAGGGGAUACUGAUUGGUUUAAAGUCAGGAAAGGUGUGCGUCAGGGUUGUAUCCUUUCACCAUACCUAUUCAAUCUGUAUGCUGAGCAAAUAACCAAAACCUGGACUAUAUGAAGGACAAUGGGGCAUCAGGAUUGGAGGAAGACUCAUUAACAACCUGUCUUAUGCAGAUGACACAUCCUAGCUUGGUGAAAGUGAAGAGGACUUGAAGCACUUACUGAUGAAGAUCAAAGACUGCAGCCUUCAGUCUGGAUUACACUUCAACAUAAAGAAAACAGAGAUUCUCCCAACUGGACCAAUAAGCAACGUCAUGGUAAAUGGAGAAAAGAUUGAGGUUGUGAAGGAUUUCAUUUUACUUGGAUCCAUAGUCAACACCCGCGGAAGCAGAAGUCAAGAAA